CUCAGUGGGUUAAGGAUCUGGCGUUGCCGUGAGCUGUGGUGUAGGUCACAGACAUGGCUCGGAUCUGGUAUUGCUGUGGCUGUGGCAUAGGCCAGUGGCUACAGCUCCAAUUAGACCCCUAGCCUGGGAACCUCCAUAUGCCAUGGGUGCGGCCCUAGAAAAGACAAAAAAAAAACAAAAACAAAAACAAAAAAAAACUCCAUUCAAAUUCAUCUCCAGAGAAAGACUUCUCAGUCUCAUCUUCCUUGACAGGUUUUUAUCAAAGGUUACUUUUGACAUUUCUUUAGAAACUAAAAUGCUUGGCACAAUGCAGGUGCACACAAGAGGCUCUCAUAUAAUCCACAGAUAAUUAAUUCUUUUUUUCUUUUUUCAGCUGCAUCUGCAGCAUAGGGAAGUUCCCAGGCUAGGGGUUGAAUCAAAGCUUUAGCUGCCGGCCAAUGCACAGCCAUGGCCAUGAGGGAUCCGAGCUGCAUCUUUGACCUAUGCCACAGCUCAAGGCAACGCCAUAUGCUUAACCCAGUGGGUGAGACGAGGGAUCAAAUCUGCGUCCUCAUGGAUCCUAGUCGGGUUCUUAACCCACUGAGCCAUAACAGGAACUCCGGUAAAUACUUCUUUACCUACAAUACUUGAGCAGAACCGUUUUACUCACCGUCCUGCUUUCCUGGUGGUUUUCUCUUUCCUCUAAGUUCUGAUCUGAAUUGUACGAAAGCACAGCCCUCGUGAGUAUGGAGAGGGCUGGGUUUAGAAGCUAAGUACGUGGUGAGGAAGUUGAAGCAAAUGAGCUUCCCUCAUUUAGAAAUGAGACUUUCUAGAGAGAUUUGGUCAUAAAAUAUGGAGCGAUCUCAGCAGCUUAAAGGAGGCCAGGGAAUCGAUGGAAGGGUUUGGUCAUUUUAUUUGUCCCUUUGCCAUGAUUAUUAGCACAUUUGUCAUCAAAAUGUGAGGGGCUAGUGAACCUAUAAGUGAGGCUUGAUGGAGUGCUCUUCUUAGAAGGGUAGGAGGGCAGACUGAGGGCCCAAGAGUUUUGGAAAUGAGCAAAUCCAUCUAUUAGGUUGAGGAAAUUAACAUGAGAUGGCCCCUGGCUCCUUCGGGGGAAUCGAAGCUCCAUCACUCCCAAGGGAGGGAUUUGCAGCUGCUUUCUUUCUGCCACAGCCUCAGAAUGGUAGGCACCUAGAAGGUACUUAGUCCGUAUUUGUUGAAUAGGCCAUUGAAAAUGGAUCAAAUAGGGAAAACUCUUAAGUAUAGACUCUCUGGGGUAAGUAAAUAGUUGUUCGAAUAGCCUAAUCAGAUUUAGAACAGGCACAGAUUUAGAACAAGCUUUCUUUAGGGGGCAUUACAUUCCUCCCAUGUCCACAAACACUACUUACAAUAAAGGAAAGAUGUGUUCUUUCUUGCCAGAUGAAACCCUGGUGUGCUCCCAGCCCAUGUGUGAUCACCUGCAUAGCUUUCACCACCUCUCGACCACCACUGCCACCUGGUGGGAGGGCAGCGAUUCACAAGUGGCACCUGGAAUGAGACUUCUUGCAGGCAGCAGCACCUGUAAUUCUCCUUUGUGGUCAUGCCCUUCUAGAAAGCUGGCAACCCUGUGGUUCAUGGAAAACAAGACUUUGCUGAAUUCUCUCACUGUACAACUUUGUCCCCAAUCAGGGUUUAGGGUUCUACUCUUGCAUUUCUUUUCGGAAAAUAGGGAGAGACAGCCAAAUUAGGCAUGACAUUGAUAAGGCCACAUGAGCAGAUCCGCCUUUCGGUGGCUGUGGUGCUAUGUACCUUGUAAAGCUCUGUGCACCUGCCAGUCAUCACCUACUGUGAUGACUACUAGUGGCCAUAUAGAGGUAGGCUGUGGGGACCUGACGACUCCAAGUGCUAUAAAUACUCACUCGACAAGCCUUUCCAGAUCUGCAUGAACUAGGUAAAUGGAUUCAAAAGUUUCAGGAGUACUAACUGAUUCAGGUGAUUACAAAUGAAUUAUGUGGUUUUGAUAGAAUUCUGAUUCAGUUGGAACCUUUGAAUCAGUGAUACUGUAGAUGUUUUCAUUUUAAGCACACUAUACUCCUUGCUGUUUAGGCUUUAUUUUUCAAUAGAAAGGACAAUUCAAGGUAGCUUAUUUGCCUUCUUGGGGUGGGGGGAGUGACAAUUAUGCACCAUUUAGUUGAAGUCACUGUUUUAAUGCGUUUCAGCAACAGCUGUUAUUGAUUCCUACUGGUUUUUACUUUUUCAGAAAGCUGUUAAUAUUAUGUCUCAGCACAAGGCGUGAAACUGUGUGUAUCAUACCUGUGUCUCCACCACCAGGUAAAGAAGAGACCUUAACCAGCAUCCCUGAAGCCCCCUCCACCCCACCCAUGAUCCUUCCAAUCACUGUCCUCUCUCCCCCAAAGGUAGCCUCUAUCCUGUCGUCUAAAGCCAUAGCUUCGUUUGCGCCUGGGUUUUUUGUUCGUGUGUGUUUAUAUAAAUGAAAUCAUGCAGUGCGUAGCUCUUUUUUGCCAGGCUUUUUUUGUUUUGUUUUGUUUUGUUUUUGCUCCAUAUUAUGCUUAUGAGAGUCAGCCAUGUUGCUCAGAAAAGCUGUAGUCUGUUAGUUUGUGUUGCUGUAUCCUAUUACCUUGUAUAAGAUGUCAUAAUUGAUACACAAGGUCAACACUGAAGGAUACUUGGGAUACUUCGUUUCCUUCUAGCUGGAGGCUCUUACCAGAAAUGCUUCUGUGAACAUUCUUGUCCUUGGGUAAACAUAGACACUUGUUUCUGUUGGGUCUACACUUCCGGGUAAGUUGCUGAGUCAUGGAGUCAGCGCGUGUUCAACUGGGAUGAUAAUGCCAAACCGGUUUUUAAAGUGGUCAUACUAACACACACUCAUACUAGCAGAAUGUCAGCAGUCCCGUUGUUUUGUAUCUCCCUAUUCUUAGUAUUAUGUAGCAUUUUCAUGUUAGCCACUUUGCUAGGUAUGUAUAUAUUUGUAUUUCCUUGUGUUAUUAAAGUACUGUCUUUUUUUGGCUCACGGUAUGCCGAAGUGUCAGGGCCAGGGAUCAAACGCCCCCUACAGCAGUGACCUGAGCCACAGCGGUGUCAAGGCUAGAUCCUUAACCCGCUGAGCCACCAUGGAAUUCCUCAAGUACUAUAUUUUAAUUAACAACUAAUUGUGUUUCUUUUUAUAGCAGAACAGAAAGAACCAUUUAUAACCUCAUAAUGUGCUUUAAAAUAUCUUUGGCACCAAGUCCACAUCAUCCUAUUUCCUUUUAGGCCCAUCUUGGUGAGAAGUCUAUGUCCCAACUAAUAUAAAAACAAUAACAUAGACAUAUGACAGGCCCAGCUGACCCAUUUAGCAAACAGAAAGAUUCAUCUAAUAUCUCCUCGAAAUAAAGUAGGAUAGAGAAAUAAAAGCAAGGCAGAAAAACAACCAGCUUUUGAAAAUAAAGUGUGGCGUUCUCUCAUGGUGCAGCAGGUUAUAGGUCCUUCAUUGUCACUGCAGUGGCUUGGGUCACCGCUGUGGUGCGGGUUCCAUCCCCGGCCCAGGAACUUCCACAUGCCACAGGCAGAGCUAAAAAUUUAGAAAAAUAAAUAAAGAGUAAGCUGUAAAAUAAUCGAAUAUUACAGUUAGAUUCAUCUAAUUCAGCCAACUCGGGGCCAGGAGAGGUUAAAUGGUCAAGACCUACCCCAGCUGCAAACAGCCAGAACUAGAAUUCUACUCCAUUUACCCCUAAUCUUUUCUAGGAUACUCAACAUUUUAUUCAAUGUAUGUUCUUAAGUCUAAAAUUUCUCUUUAAACUCAGUUAAGUUUCCCAGAGUUCAGGUUCAUUUUGUAAGUGCACGUAGUUAACCAUGAAAGAACGCUCUGUCCACGUGUUGUAGUUAUACAGCCAUGCUUUCUCUCUCUGACUAAUUAGAAGACAACUCGACACUGAAAUCCAAUCCCAACAGAACACUAUAGCCAGAGAGCUGUCUGGCUAUCACUCUGCAGAAAGACACAGCAGUCUGUCUAAAUUCUCACUGCUUCCCUUGUCAGCAAGUCAGGGCUUGGAGUUUUAUAAAGGAAUCCAUGUCAAUCCCCAGCUCUGUCUUCCUCUGAGGAUUCCUGGGGGCUGGGGGUGGGGGGCUAGCUCCGUAAUGCAAUGGCUUUCUUGUCGGAAGAUAUCACCGUUGACCCAGUCAGCAGACCGUGGACUUUGACUUAUGGCUCCUCACGGAUCCAUAUACAUUCAUACUCAGAGCUUCUACAUGACAAAUGGCAUACAACUGCAAAUGCCUAGCCUCUGGCUGCUGACCAGAAUAUAGCUAAUUUAUCCCUAUAAGGUUCAUGGUUUGCGUCUUCGCUAACAGCAUCAGCAGACCAGCUAUAGACUCUUAACUUUCACCAUCUUGAUCUGGGAAAUAUAAUUUCUCCUCUAUUUCAUUGCGCUUAUUAAUGUAAAGUAUUGUAUUCCCUAAAUCAAAACAGCAGCCCACAGGCAUACUUAGCUUAACCAUCGCAGCCUUUAAAAUCUAUUUGAAUUCAUGCCCACAUUUGAAAUCUAGAGCGUUCAUAUAAAAAUUCAGAUGAUCGGCCUUUCUUGAAAUAUCAGAGGCUCUAGCCAUUCAGGGACCUCGUUCCUGGUGACAGCCCGGACGAGCUGACGGGGGUGGCCUCCUUCAGUGAGAACACAGCUCCCUAACUCACCAGUCACCUACACAGGCCAGUUCACUCCUCUAUGUUGCCUUCCUGACCCACAGAGGUAUUUGAAUUUGUGAUUCUUGCCCUAAUCAAAUAGUAUCAAGGCCAGGUUUCUGCCUGGAGCUCAAUGCCAGGGCUUUGGCAGCAACUCGAAGGCCCUCCAAGCAGGCUCUGUAUAAUUCUGGUCCCCUGCAGGCCCCUGCUGGAUUGCCCAGCACUGUCUUUGCCAUGCCCUUUCUGCAGGCUGGAUAUUGGCAUAACACAGAGCUCCUCUGGCAUACAAUGGGGCUGCAUUCAUUUGGGGAGAUCUGGGACUUCCGCUCUGCACCAGGAACCUGAUUCCCAUUCUCUCAGAAAAAAUGCUGAGGGAUGUAGUUGAGUUUUCUCUAAUCUGCAGAAAAUUCAAUUGGCAAGAUCUGCAAGUUUGGCUCUGCUUUGAAGCAUCUGCAUCCCUCCCCCCACCGUGAGUCAGUGCAUUCAACAAUGCUAUUUAAAAUUCAAUAAAUACAAGGCAAAUGAAAUGACCAAAAUGGAUCCUCACUUU
rnacentral:lncRNA from 1 species